rnacentral:lncRNA from 1 species
GAGGAGCUGGGAUGUGGUGCAUUUUUUAAUUUCCAACCUAAAGCACGGCGAUGAAACAUGCAUCAGGCGUCACCUCUUAAUGCCUCAUUUCUCAGGAUUUGUUGUUCAGAAUUAUGCGGACUGUCACCGGGCGGCUGUGCCAGAGCUGCUCACAGGUUUGCCAGAUUUCACCCCAAUUUAUUUCAGCUCAACCAUCUCGCUUGACCAUCAGUGUUGGGUCACAGCGUGUCUCAAACCGUUCGGGGACGUGCAGGCAAACAGAAUACAUAAACACAAACCCGAGCAGCAGAGAGGUUCAGCAAAUGAGCUUGUCAGAAGUUUCCACAGUCACCACAUUACACGUCCUUUAAACAAACCGUGUCAAGAAACAGAAACAUUUCCCUCCGACCGUUUUUAAUUGAGUUUUUCAGCUCUUGGGAAUAACUGCACAAGCUUUAGUCACAAUACAGACAUAUUUACACCGUUUGGAGGCGGUUGUGUUAUUAGUGUUAGCAAACAGCUAACUGUUUGUUCAACCGGCUGUCAUGGGGCAAAAUUAUCAUUUAUAUGUGGUCUGGCUCCUGCCCCUGAAAUAUCCGUCCCUCUGAAUUCAACAUGUUCACCGGCUCACCACUUCGUUUGUUGGUUCGUCUGGAGUCAAGAAAGAAAAAAAGAAAAAAAAGGAGGAUAAGAAAACAGAGAAGAGGCGAGACAAUCCAGAUCGAACCUUUAACCCUCCUCAGUGAGUCCGUGGAAGUAAAAAUAUCUAAAAUCAUCCAACAAAGUUUACAUCAACGUGUCCGACUGUGCUCCUAAUGAAGAGAGUCCACUAACCCCCAAUUUCUACCGCAUCCAGAACGGAUCCGAUCCGGAACGGCGCCGAAUUUCACCGUCCGCCGAAUUUCACUAGAUCCAUUUGUGGGGGAAAUUUUGUGGCGGAUUACGGACCUGCUCGGGUUGUCUGUGAUCCGUCUUACCAUGUCAGAGCAGGUUUUGGAUCCGUCUUAUUGAGGAUUCCGGCUCUUUUAGUGAUCCAGAUUCACAAUUCUAGAUUUGACCUGACGACCAAAUAACUGCAGUAUUAGGAUAUUUACGAAAAACUCGAUAAAACAAGACGGUCAGUCAGAUUGUGAAAAGGUAAGAUGAAGAUGGAGCAACAAAUAACUUGAUAAACUUUAACGAUUAAAUACAAUCACGAUUUAUCGUCUAUUCCUGCUCAUCCUGAUGGUUAACAGUUAAAUUUGUUAAUUUACAGAUUAAUAGACUUUGACUCGCUCUGCUCAUAGAACACAUAUUGUUGAAAUGGUCAUCAUUGAAUCUGGACAUGGUCGAAGUUCACAGUUUGAACCAGAUUGUGAAGUUUUGGGCGCCCCCUGCAGACCACAUCAGUCACAGUAGACAGAAAAAAAGUGCUGUUCUUUGUAGACCCUGUCAAACUCAGUCCGGGUCCUCCUCCUGGUCUCACCUCGAUGCCGGAGCCCGUCACUUAUACCUGUGAGGAAAACGCUCAUGCUGAUUGAAGUGUGGUUGAGGUGCUAAAUCGGACAUGAACCGUGGUGACAAUCACAGCAGUAACUUGUCAAUAAACCCGGGUAACUAUGUGGUCUAUAUGCAGACAUACAUGCUCCUGCUCCUAUUGAUUUCUAAAUUGGACCCUUCUCUUCUUUAAAUGCUGUCAUUAUUGAGUUUUAUAUUUAUAUUUUCAGAAAUAUCCCUACUUCCACCUUAGCCAACAGUUGCAUGGCAACCAAGGGCUCCGUGUACCAAUUAAGCUGUCAGGGUUACGAGUGACAUUCACCUUCCAUUUGAAGAGGAGGAAAUGCUCCGUGUUCACAGCCUAAAACCAGGAGAGGUAUUUUGGUGCUCAGCUGGUUUACAGCGGUCUUUGUUUUAUCAGAGUUUAUAAACCAUAAACACAACGAUACCUCCACUUCAGAGGUGUAACGGCUCUCUUAUUGUACAUAACCCCCACUCUUACAGGUAACAACACUGUGACACUAAAGAUGUCGUCAUUACAGUCUAGAAACAAAGUUUUCAGAUGUUCAGACUUUGUAAGCUUUGAUAAACAAAAAUUAUCAGACGACUUCCCCGCUACUCAAGGCCAAAUCUUCUCUAAACGGAGUAAAUUAAAUUAAAAACAUCGUCUUUUAAAUGAAAUCUUUUCAACAACUUAAAAUAAAAUAGACAUAGUCAAUAGAACAAUAAUAUAUAUAGAUUUUUGUUCAAAUAACUGAUAAAUUAAUCACUUUGGGAAAUCCUUAAGAAAUCACUCAGUAUGUUUACAGUCUCAGUUUAAUCAGACUAAACUCAUAAUUUUUUUUUUUUUCUCUGAAUCAGACUUCUCUCCUCGUCCUCGUUUACAUGCAGCUGAGAAAACUGAAUUAUUGACGUGAACGUGUCCUCCUCCCCAACACUAGGGGGCGAUAUGGGUCUUUUCAGGGGCGCUGUUUCCGACCCCAUACAACCGUCAACAACAACAGCAGGUCGGUGUCAGACGUCAGAAGUGUCUACAACUGCUGCUGGGCAUUUUGGAGAAACAAGAAGAUGGAGCAUCGUACAGCGUUGUUUUUGUCUGACAUGAUGGACGCGCUACUUUUUCUAAAGAUGAGACCAACGCUGGCGUAAGGGGACAUGCAUUGUCCGAUCAUACUCAGACUACGCUGGUUACAUGGUAGAGAAAAUAAAAUUCCAGUCGUAUGAUCUCUAAUCGAAGUUCUCAAACUCCGACUAUAGUAGGACUAAGGUGUUUACAUGCACUUCAGUUGUCGGAAUAAGACGAUAAUUCGGUUUUCUGGAGUGUCAUGUAAACGUACGAAUUGACAGUUGUUUCCUCGUCUUUCUGAUAGUCUGUUUAUGAGAUCAUGUUUAAAUUUAUGUUUUCAUUUUACAGGUUGACCCAUGUUCCAUCGGUUCACAUGGAGGAGACUGAUCUAUGACCUUCAGAUCUGAGCUCCAUGACAUGUUGUUCUUCGUUCCCAAACAGGACCUCUAAACUCAGCCCCUCCGCCCCCGGUGGCCAAGAAGUGAAACUGCACUCCAACUUCAAAUAAAUGCCGAGUGACCUCUCAUUAAACAUUCCUGUUUCUGCUCACUCCCCCUCCUGAACCACCUCACCCGGCUCCCCCCUCCCACCCCCCGCAGAGAACAGCUUAGGUCAUUACAGUCUGCUGUCAAAACCUGUGACCGCUCCGCGUCGGAGCCGCCAGGAUUAAGGGCUGUGAAAACAAGAACAAGAAGGGAAAGGAGGUGAAAGCUGACAGAGGGAGCAAGGCCUUAAAUAUUUUCUCUUUCUUCCCCUCUUUUUUCCCCGCCACAGUUGACCGCGUGCUGAUUCUUGCAGCUACUUUGCGGCGGACUGCACUAAUGUGAAGGGAUAUGGAGUCACAUGGAAAACACGGAGAGGAGGCAAACAUCUACGGACUGUUGAAUCGAGGGAUCGCUCGCUGCGCCGUAUCAAAUCCUUCUACAGUUGUAUCUCAUAAAAACACGCUUAUGAGGAGUUUUGUGAAGCAUGCGGUGACCUCCACUCCAGAGUCCUGUCUGUUUUUAAUGCUUACUGAGGCCCUGAAGGUCAGGACCAUCCAGUCUUGGUUAGAUUCACUCCGCUCACCCUUUCACACGCUCAGACUGGAGUCGUGUUUCCUCUGAGGAGAGUAAUCGCAGACCUGUUUCUCACUGAAUUGCCUUUUGUUGAUUCAAACUCUCCUGAUAAAAGUUCAGAGUGGGUUUGCUGCUCUUUCCUGGACUCGGUACCACACCGACCCGCUGCUUCAAUAAAUCCAAAUAAGAGAGCGACUUGUUGUUUUGUGCACAUUUGGACCUGUGCAUGUUUCAAUUGUUAGACUUAUUGGUCCAGGUGUCCGAGCGCAGCGAAGCUCGCAACGCAGGGCGAGAGCAAAUGUUGAACAGAGAUCUGGCAGGAGAUGUGGCAGUUUGUCAAAGAGGAGUGUGUGUCUGUGUGUGCGUACGUGUGUGUGAGUUUUAUUUCCGUUCAGAUUUCACCGAGCUUGACAAAAACAGUAAAUUGCCUCCUAGAUCAGACACUUGUGGGUUGACGGGGUUGUGGCGGCGGCACUCUUCCACGUGUCUGUUGUACGAGGCAUUAUCUGAAAGCGAGAUCGAGGCGUGCAGGUGUCAGCCGACGAACACUGAAUAUUUGACUUUAUCUUGACGGUUUAUCCUUCUUGUUGACACCGCCAGGAAUUUCCAAUUUCAGGCGAAGGAAAGAUCAGCCUCUGCCUCUUCUGUGCAGAACUCCUCCAUCGCCCCGUCUGAGUCCAACACCGAUUCCUGCUCUGCAUUUUGAAGCCGCUCCAGAAAGAACUGGAGAGCUGGAAGCUGCAGGAUGACUCCAUCACCCACCUACAUUAAUUUAAAAUGAGUGUGAAAUCACUGGAGUGUUUGGAGCGGCCGUCCUGCAGCGUGGGCCUGUUUGGUGUUUUAUUUACCGUCACCUCUGUGCCCAGAACUCCGUUAAUCCUCUGUUUGUGUUCAAACACCUCAGCUGCUCACUCUGCGUCAGUCUGUCUCCACGCUGGCUGCUGCGGACGCUCUGUCUCGCUGGCUGCCGGCGGAGCUGAUCUGGCAGAUGGCCUGCUGUUGGGAUAGACGCCUGAUUCCUGCGCUGUUUGAUGGAGGAUUUGAUGUGAAUUGUCUGUCUAGCUCUGUGAAUAUCUGACUGUCUGUCACCGAGCAGAGCUUCUCUUUGUGUCUGAGUUUCCAAGGAUGUUUGAAACAUCCUGAUAAAAAAGCUCUAAUGAAACUUUUCUUCGUUUGAUUUAUUCAUACCUGAAGGUUACUGUGAAAAUCCUCGUACACAACAGCCCAGCUUUCACUUUUCCACCUCUUCCUUCACAGCGUCGCCCCCUCCAGGCCGGACAGGAGCGCUGACCCUGUCCCACAGGCUCCUCGAGGUCACCAGCAGGCCCCGUGUUUUGGCUCGAGUCCCUCCCCUGAACGGUUCCCCUGAUUAUCUCAUAGUUUUGCUGGAUAUUCCCUCAUCUCCCCUUUUAAAGGACUUCAUUACUUCCAGCUCCCCAAACUUGUCAAAACCAAUUUGCUUUCCUAUUAUUCCCUCAACUGAUCCCACCACCACCCCUCCUCUCGGCCCUCCCUCCGCAAAUCCUCGACCCUCUGCUUCCCUCAAUCGAAACUCCCAACGCGACCUGUGCAACCCCUAAACCCGCUCUACCCCCAUCCUGUGGACUCCUGUGAUUCCUCUAGACCCCGCCCCCUCCCGCGCGGCUCUUAUCUGUCGUAACUGCGGCGACUUGUCUUUCAUCUCCUGGCAGAAGUUAGAGACGAGCUGGUCGUAAACACGCUAACAAGCCGGAUGAAAGCAGACGGUGACUCACUGACGACUAAAUAAAAUCCGUGGAACCUGAAAAACAUCGGCUCGCCAGCUCCGGCGGCACUUCCACCAUCAUAUCCUGCACAGCCUCCCCCCUCCUCCCUGCACCCACCCAAUCCAUCCCUUUCCCGUCAAUUAGCGCCUCACCAGUGACAACACCGAGGAUCUUCAUUAGCGGAGAAUGCUCAAUUAUAUCAGUUGAUAUUCCUUUCCAAAACUAAUUAUCCCGGUUGAACGGCACGGCUGACUGAGCCUGCCCUCACCCCGGGGCGCAGCGGUUACUGAUGUGAUUUGGUUUUGGCUCCGAGCUCUGCUUUCCACUCCUCUCUUUUGUUAACCUCCUUUCUCUCUUCCCUCAACACAGUCCAUGCUACCGUCUCAGGAGGACCGCGCUCUCCCUCUCUCUUUAUAUUUGUGGACUUUUAGUGCAACCAAGCCUGUCCUUUUGACAUGUUCUGUUUUUGCAUGUGCAAAGAUUUGUUCCAAUAAAACUGAAGUGACAACAGGACUGGGCUGAACUAGAAGUAGAACAUUAUUAUUUCAUUCAGCAAACAAAAGUGUGUCGGUUAUGGACGCUGUGACAGUCAAAUCCUCUGGAUGCACUUUGGACAGUAAAUCACAUUAUUCUCUGUCACUUUGUCUCCCUCCUGCAGCUGCAUGUCAAAGAUCCCUGCAGGACACAUGAUGUUUCUGCUGCACAAACUGGUUUUAACUAAAGCGAGUGUUCGAGGACAAACUCAGGGCUUAUUUUAUUUAUGGUUUUUGUGCAUAGUUUAUAAUGUUAGCUUAUAAUUUAGAGGUUUAAAAUGUGGUUUUGAAGCAGCAAUGCUGUAAUGGAUGGAGUGUUAUUAUUGGAUGUACUGCUCAAGGGUUACUGUCGCUUUAAGAAAGUUCAGACAUGGGCUGUGAGCCGAAUCCUGAGCAGAUAUUUGGACCGUGGACUGUAUCUAUUAUGGACAACUUAGCUCCGCCUUUAUUCGUCAUUAUAUGAAUUCGAAGCUGAAUUGCUCUUCCUGGAACCACCACUUGCACGGUAGCGUUGUACGAAUUCAGCGGGAGAGUCGCCGUGAUGACGCUCGGCUCAAACAGCGUAUCCCCCGGGUGAGCUACGCAAUCUCUGUACUCCCAUAGGCUGUAUCAGGUGUCAAUCAUAGAAAACAUGAACCCCCUAAUAACUUUUAAAAAUGGAGGAAAAGAGGACUUGAGCACAAACUAGUUUUACUGUCUCCACACCCCAAGCGCAAGUAAAAUCAUUCACGCAAAUGAAUUACAUGUUAAGUCAAUGCAAAGAUGCGAUUAGACGCUCCUACUACUCUGGAGGCGUGAAUGACACAUAGUGGGCGGGAGCUGAAAAUGUCUCAACUUGAGCAGAUAUUUGCAUCGCGAUAACCAGUUGUUCACUGGUAUCUAAAAUGGAGAACAAACAGAUUGUGUCGGUGUGUGUGGUAUGAUACCUUUUCUUUCAAUUCCCAAAACCGGAAUAAAAAGGAGCUCGCCCGGAGGCAAGUAAGUGAGGAGGUCGGAUUAUCUGGUUAAUUCCCGCCGGUUUAAUUGGCAGGGACUUCCUGUUGAAAUUACUGUUGACAUGCGAGUGAAGCAAGCAAAGAAAAUGCAUUCACACUUCUAGAUUCGUGCGAAUUAUCCGAGUAGAUGAUGACUGUAUGACUGUAACUACACGUCAACAUUGCAACCAGGGGGGAGUAAAAUUCAUAUUCUUUGUAAUUAAUUUAUAAAGUUUGUCAGCAGCUCCAUAGAGAUUGCUGGAGGAGGCAGGGUUUAUGACCUAUACUGCAGCCCGUCACCAGGGGGUGCUGUUCUCACCCAGCGAAGAGGCAGACAGCGUCCAUUCUAGAUACAGUCUAUGAUUUGGACCAGUUUGGAGACACAUGGUUAAUGUUAAUGUUUCUCCUGCUUUAUCGUCUUUAUUUGUACAUUUCUGACGUCUUUGGAAUGAAGUUGAUGCUUACGGGGAGACACGCAGAAGCCAGGACUACAAGCUAGCAAGCAGUUAGAGCGCCGCAGGUGGAAGAGCAUGUUGCAUCUGUUUUGUGUCAUCUUGUGUCCCAAAAUGAGUUAAAUAAGCAGCAGAGUUGGACAGUCUGCAGAAAGCUGUAGCCUCGUUUACACGCCGACUCUUUCCCUUUAAUGAGAUAUUAUGGAAUUAAACGACAGUGAUAAAGUUAAAAAUAGAUGGUACAGGCUGGACUACAGCUUUCCACAGACUCUGACCCAAACACUCAUCUCAGUUUAUGAAGUUUUUUUUUUCAGCACUUUGCCAUCAAGCUCUUUAUUUUUUGCUCUAUUUGCAGCCACAACACACGUGUGUGUUCCUCCUGCGAUCUGCUGAUCCUCGUCAAGCUAAUUAAGAAGCUGCAUGUAGUCAUUACAGUCCUGCAGCAGCUGCAGAAGAAGAAUUGAAGAAACGGAGAAAGGAAAUAUGUGCUUAAUAUGUACAGAUUGAAAAAGCUGACGUAACUAGUCAGUGAUGAUUACUUACAGCUGCUGCAUCAAAGUGCACUUUAUCACAAAUAUGCCGCAGAUAUUGUUAACUCAUUAUUCCAAAUAUAAUCACACACACGUGUUGUAUAUGAUGUCUAAUGUUAAGAUGUCUUUAUCAGCAGCUGUGCCAUAUUUCUAAUCCAUCCAUCCUGCUGUGACAGUCCUGCAGGCAGCAGCUACACUGAGACUACGUUUACACGUGUCCGGCUAUUUUCAUAAACAGACAUUUAACCCUCUCCGAUUACAAAAAACAACUGCAUGCACACCAC